UACAGAGGGUGCGAGCGUUAAUCGGAAUUACUGGGCGUAAAGAGUGCGUAGGCGGUUCUUGAAGUCCGCUGUGAAAGCCCCGGGCUUAACCUGGGAAUGGCAGUGGGAAACUGGGGGACUUGAAUUGAGCAGAGGGGGGUGGAAUGCCGCGUGUAGCAGUGAAAUGCGUAGAUAUGCGGAGGAACACCGAUGGCGAAGGCAAUCCCCUGGGCCUGCACUGACGCUCAGGCACGAAAGCGUGGGGAGCAAACAGG
rnacentral:rRNA from 1 species